rnacentral:snRNA from 3 species
AUGCUCACUUUGGCAGCAUAUAUACUAAAAUUGGAAUGAUACAGAGGAGAUUAGCAUGGCCCCUGUGCAGGGAUGACACACAAAUUCGUGAAGCAUUCCAUGUUUUU